AGACGAUGCUUAUGCAUCUCCUCAGCCUGAACGAACCCUGGAUAUAGCCAGGCUCUCGUAUAAUCCUUAUCUAUUUAUU
rnacentral:ncRNA from 1 species